rnacentral:rRNA from 1 species
GAUGAACGCUGACAGAAUGCUUAACACAUGCAAGUCGAUGGGGAAGUGGUGCUUGCACCAUGGCAACCAUGGCGGACGGGUGAGUAACGCGUAAGGGACUUACCUGCAGGACUGGGAUAACAGGGGGAAACUCCUGACAAGACCGGAUAAUGUCAUGGAGCUGCAUGGCUUUAUGAUGAAAGGAGACGCCUGCGGAGAGCCUUGCGUCCUAUUAGCUAGUUGGUGAGGUAAUGGCUCACCAAGGCGAAGAUAGGUAGCCGGCCUGAGAGGGUGGGCGGCCACAAGGGGACUGAGAUACGGCCCUUACUCCUACGGGAGGCAGCAGUGGGGAAUAUUGGACAAUGGGGGCAACCCUGAUCCAGCAAUUCUGUGUGCACGAAGAAGGUUUUCGGAUUGUAAAGUGCUUUCAGCAGGGAAGAAGUAAGUGACGGUACCUGCAGAAGAAGCGACGGCUAAAUACGUG